GGAGAUGUGGCCGAGUGGUUAUGGCGCUAGUUUCAGGCUCACCUGAAAUGAGUUUACUAGUGGGCAACCGCGUGGGUUCGAAUCCCACCAUCUUCA
rfam:Aureobasidium pullulans var. pullulans EXF-150 unplaced genomic scaffold scaffold_13, whole genome shotgun sequence.